GGAUUAAUUUACUGGUCGUGCUAUUGUACGUACUGGUUUUAUUGAUUCCUCCCUUCUGACGAACUAUGAUGCCAUUAAUUUGGUGUCUUAGGGAAUCAGGACUGUUACUUUGAAAAAAUUAGAGUGUUCAAAACAAGCUUAUGCUUGAAUACAUUAGCAUGGAAUAACGGAAUAGGACUU
rnacentral:rRNA from 1 species